rnacentral:rRNA from 1 species
AACGAACGCUGGCGGCGUGCCUAACACAUGCAAGUCGAACGAGACCUUCGGGUCUAGUGGCGCACGGGUGCGUAACGCGUGGGAAUCUGCCCUUGGGUUCGGAAUAACAGUUAGAAAUGACUGCUAAUACCGGAUAAUGUCUUCGGACCAAAGAUUUAUCGCCCAGGGAUGAGCCCGCGUAGGAUUAGCUAGUUGGUGAGGUAAAGGCUCACCAAGGCGACGAUCCUUAGCUGGUCUGAGAGGAUGAUCAGCCACACUGGGACUGAGACACGGCCCAGACUCCUACGGGAGGCAGCAGUGGGGAAUAUUGGACAAUGGGCGAAAGCCUGAUCCAGCAAUGCCGCGUGAGUGAUGAAGGCCUUAGGGUUGUAAAGCUCUUUUACCCGGGAUGAUAAUGACAGUACCGGGAGAAUAAGCCCGGCUAACUCCGUGCCAGCAGCCGCGGUAAU